rnacentral:rRNA from 1 species
CCCUAUCUGUCGUGGGCGUAGGAAGUUUGAGUAGAUUAGUCCCUAGUACGAGAGGACCGGGAUUAACAGAGCAAUGGUCUAUCGGUUGUCGCGCCAGCGGCAUGGCCGAGUAGCUACCUCUGGACAGGAUAAACGCUGAAAGCAUCUAAGCGUGAAACCAACUAUAAGAUGAGACUUCCCAUUCGAAAGAAGUAAGAGCCCUCCAAUGUUAGGAGGUUGAUAGGUCAGAAGUGUAAGCGUGGCGACACGUUCAGCUGACUGAUACUAAUAGCUCGAGGACUUAAUUUC